UCGGGUGUGGUGUACGGUGCACCCUCCCUCUCUGUAAGUGGAUGAUGACCCCGCAUCACAUCAAGGGAGGAGGCCGGGUUCGACUCCCGGCGCCCGAA